AAACCUGAAACAACUUCUUCACCCUGGGUAGUUGCUACAGGCCCUCCAACUGCUGAUGCUAAUGUAGGCCAGCUGAAAACCUUGCAGCUCCCCAGUCCUCCGGAAUAUGUUGUGUACACCGACAGUGAGUUGGAGCAAUGCCGAAAGAGUUACCUGGAGUUGGCCUGCUCCGGCAGGGAACAAGCAUGCGUCAUGUCAAAAGAACUGAGAUGCAGAUUGGUGAGAAAUACAAUCACAAGUAUGGUGUCCCUUUUGAGAGCAAGCCAAGGCCAAAUGGAGUGAUACCCCUCUAAGACCGAAAUCACUGCAAUGGCUAAAAAAGUUGUGGAAUAUUAUCCUAUGCUGCAGGAUAAUGAUGCAAGCGUAAAACACGUAAGUUCUUGUAUUUGUGUCUCAUAUAUAAAUCAUUUUGUUUUGUUCAGGGGGCAUGAUAUAUAUGUAUUUUUCACCAGGAGAGCAUUAAUGCCAAGUUACAAAAAAGGCUGCAAAAUAUGAAAACCCCAGUAAAAAGGCAAGGACCAACACCGGAGAGGGGACGGCCCAAGAGAAGGCUCACUGACCUCUCCCCAAGGGAUGAAGAAGCUGAUGAUGAAGAUGCUGAUCGCAGUUCUUCCAGUGGUGCAUCUACUCUGUUAUCACCUGUCAGAAAUUCUGACGAUGCCUCCACUUCAUGUGAGUACAUACAUGUAAUUUUGUAAAAUGGUUAUCAACACACAGCCAGUAGUAGCUAAUGUUUUGUGGAAGUCUACUUCAGUAACAAUGAAAAACCAAAAUGCUCUUGUACUUCUCUCUAUCUUAGCUGACAAGGAUAGUCGGCAAAUACAAGCAAGACAUUACAAAACAUUACAAGAAAUGUGCAAGAAGGCAAAACCAAACCAAGAAGAUGUGUCCCAGCUAUUAGACCUCGAGUUUGAAGCCAGAAGAUCCUUCAUUGACUCAGACACCAUGAAAGAGGAGAACAGAGCUCGCCUCAUCUUGGAUGCAUAUCCAUUCUUUAAAGAAUUGCAUCAUGCAUUGGGUGAGCUUCGCAGAAUUUUGGAUCCCCACAACAAGUUCAUCAGUCAAAUAAAACUGAGAUGGGAAGAAUUCUGCUCCAGGGUAGAGUUCUACGGUGUGUCAAAGAAGGCAAUGAAUCCACCAAUGACCAUGGACAAAACUGAAGCCCACCUUGCACUGAUGAAGGCUCUUCCAACGCUCUUUCCCACACCUGCCCAUCCACCAAAAAAGAUGGGGAAUGCUUCUGAAGCAUUUCUACAUGUCCUGAAGCCUACAGAAGAUCCAGAUGCUGUCCUCCAGAAACGAAGCUUGUCAUGUCCAGUAGUGAUGUUCGAUGGCUGCAAGUGUGUCAUUGCUGUUGGUAAUUUACCAGUUACAACAUUUGACAAAGAAAAACUUGGUGAGGCUAUGAUAUAUGUGAUGGCAUACUUUUAUGCACUCCAUCUGACUUACCCCAAAUGCGUGGCAACCCUGCUGUCUGUCAUUCAGACAGAAGUUCUCCAGGAUGCCAUUCAUGAGCAUGACACUACAUCAUCUUACAGAAAAGCCCUGGCAGAAUGGCAUGCAUUUAUUGGAAAGUAGUGUGUAAAUUUCAGAUAAGAUUAUGAGAGGGCACUUUUGUUUUGUUUUUUGUUUUUUCAAUCUGGGUCUUAUUUCUAAAAUGGAAAAUGUUCAUUUACUCACCCAGACAAGAUCUGUGGUAUUUGGUGUCAUUCGAAAGAAAUUUGAAUCUUUGUGGUCUUCCUAUGUCACUCGUCAAUUUUAAUGGGGCAAUGGCGAAACCUCUAAGGCUGUUGAAAUGUUGAAACCACUUAAACAAACUCAUAAUGUUGGACCUGUACUGUUCAAUUGUAUCUUUAUUAUCUGCAGGUUAUUGUUAAAGUGGACAAAUAAAGAUGGACACUUUUGCUCUGUUUCAGUUUUGUUUUGUCCUUAAUCAGCAAUAUAAUCUUAAAGUAGUGUUUAGCUAAAUUUAAAAAGCAGAAAUAUCUUUAAAAUGAUUUAAUGUACUAGUUUUUAGACUAUUUGCCUUGAUUUGUUCGUUAGAAUAAGUGUUUUAUGCCUAUUUUCAGAUUUAAUUUCUUCAACAUUUUACUUAGAACAAGUGGUUAAAGCUUAUUUUUAGGUUUCAAGCCAUGAUUGGUUGCCUGGAAUAAGUGUAAAAGACUUAUUUUUAUCUUUAUUAUCUUUAUUUGUGGCCUACAAUAAGUGGUUAAAGCUUAUUUUAAGUUUCAAUUGUUCUGAUUUGUUGCCUGGAAUAAGUGUAAGAGACUUAUUUUUAGCUUUAUUAUCUUAUUUGUGGCUUACAAUAAGUGGUUAAAGCUUAUUUUAAGUUUCAAUUGUUCUGAUUUGUUGCCUGGAAUAAGUGUAAGAGACUUAUUUUUAGCUUUAUUAUCUUAUUUGUGGCUUACAAUAAGUGGUUAAAGCUUAUUUUAAGUUUCAAUGUUCUGAUUUGUUGCCUGGAAUGAGUGUAAAAGACUUAUUUUUAGCUUUAUUUAAAUCUAGAUAUUGUUCUUAUUUCAAGAAAUCUUGUUAAGAAAAAAACACUUACCCCAUGGGCAGAUAAUUUCACUUGUUUUAAGCAAAUCUUCACCAAAAAUAAGUGUAUUUUUCUAGUAUUAAGGAGGUGGGUUUUUGCAGUGCAAACUGUACAACUUGGGACUUGGGGAAAGUCAGAGGACUAGCAGGCUGAGGAGAGGGGUGAAUGAUGUCAGAGACUGCAAUAAACCAAACAAAAUAGACCAACACUUUGCCAUUGUUCACACUUUAAUUGCUGGAAUUCCUUUGAUUGUUACCUUUUUAAAUUCUUACUGCUGUUGAUAUUUUGUUUUUAAUUAUUUGUACCUUUUGGGGGUUUUCUGUUUGUUUGUUUGUUUUGUAUUUAAUGUGAACUGAUGUUGUGCUGCUGGAAUCAUAAUUUCCCUAAAGGGACCUCCCCAAGGGAUUACACCAAGUUCCAAAUUAUUAUGCAAAUUGUGUUUAAGUCUCAUAAAGAUUAAAUAAGUUGUUUUUCAAUUAAACCCAUGGAUGGAAUUGUGUCUCAGGACUCUUUGUAUCACUGAAAACAAUCUCGAACACCUGUGAUCAUUAGUUUGCCAGGUGAGCCCAAUUAAAGGAAAAACAACUAAAGAAGGAUGUUCCACAUUAUUAAGCAGACCACCAUUUUCAAGCAAUAUAGGAAGGAAAAAUGAUCUCUGCUGCUGAAAAGCGUGAAAUAGUUGAAUGCCUUGGAUAAGUAAUGAAAACCUUAGAUAUUUAACAAAAAUUUACCAUAAUGGUAAGGGAUUUGUGGCAGAGCACACAUAGGUUCGUGCAGAUAAAGGCACAAUGAUGAAGGUUUCUGCCAGACAAAUACAUCAGAUUAAGAGGGCAGCUGCUAAAAGGCUAUUACAAAGCAGCAAACACAUAUUUGAAGCUGCUGGUGUCUCUGGAGCCCUGCAAACAUCAAGGUGUAGGAUCCUCCAGAGACUUGCUGUUGUGCAUAAACCUAUUCGGCCACCCCUAACCAAUGCUCACAAGCAGAAACGGCUGCAGUGGGCCCAGAACUACAUAAAGACUAAUUUUCAAACAGUCUCGUACACUGAUGAGUGCAGUGCAACCCUGGAUGGUGCAGAUGGAUGCAGUGGUGGAUGGUUGGUGGACGGCCACCAUGUCCCAACAAGGCUGCGUCGUCAGCAUGGAGAGAGCUGGUCGGUCCCUUUAUGGUCCCUGAAGGUGUGAAAAUGACCUCUGCAAAGUACGUGGAGUUUCUGACUGACCACUUUCUUCCAUGGUAGAAAGAGAAGAACUGUGCCUUCUGCAACACAACCAUCUCCAUGCAAGACAAUGCACCAUCUCAUGCUACAAGGAAUACCUCUGCAUCAUUGGCUGCUAUCGGCGUAAAAGGAGAGGAACUCAUGGUGUGGUCCCCAUUCUUCCCUGACUUCAAUCCUAUUGAGAACCUUUGGAACAUCCUCAAGCAAAAACUAUGAGGGUGGGAGGCAGUUCACAUCCACACAGCAGCUCAUGGAGGCUAUUCUGACAUCCUGCAAAGACAUUCAAGUAGAAACUUUCCAAAAACUCACAAGUUCCAUGGAUGCAAGAAUUGUAAAAGUGCUAUCAAAUAAGGGGUCCUAUGUUAAUAUGUAACUUGACCUGUUAAGAUGUUUUUGAUUGAAAUAGCUUUUGAUGUCAGUGAAAUUGAUCUACUAAUGCUGCAAAUUCAACAAAUGACCAUUUUCAAUUCUCUACAACCUAUAAAAUCUUUUGAAACUCUGUGUGAGUAAUAAUUUGGAACAGUGCAUUUUAAGUUUUGUAUUUUUGAAAAACAUACUGUUUUCAUUGGGAGUUUUGUUCAGU
rnacentral:lncRNA from 1 species